CCCUUCGCCGCGCCUCGCGUGCUAGCGGUGCCCUUGUGAGCCACUGCGUUCUCCAAGGCCAGAACGGGACAGCAAAAAAGACAGAAGAUUAAAGGAUCUGAAAUUCAUUCAACGAUAAAAGUGCUUAAAACAUUCUAUCUUGGAGAGAUUUACAUUUUAAUUGGUAGCAAGCUUGAAAAGAAAAGAAUGAAGAUCUUGGAUACUUCUAAUCAUCAAGGAAAGGGUACAAAUCAAACUGCUCUGAUGGCCUGAUUUGCACUUCUUCUACAGUUGACGAUGGUCGUACUUCUCCAUGUUCUGAGACCAGUUUAAACAAAAACAAAAACCAGACAACAACCUUGCAAGGGAAAGAAUUCAGAGUAAAUAAACAGUCUUUUUCUGGGAAGUAAAAUAUUUCCCUAAGAUGGAGAAAUUGAGAUGAGAGCUCAUCCACAAGAUUACCCAUCAAUGAGCACCAAUAGCAACCAAAUCCACUAGAAGACUGGGAGCUUUUAAGUCAAGAAACUUACAUCAGUAUCAUCAUUCCAAGAAGCGGUAUCCAAGCUGUUUUAUCGAAAGUGCGCAUGGGAGAUGGUGCUGUGAGUGGGGAGUGAGUCAAAAACUCCGCUGGGGUGUACAAAAGUCUACUCAAAUGUCCACAGCAUCUGUGGGGGAUGGAGAAUAGUUGGAGGAUCUUUCUCCAGAAUCCUUCUGUUCUGUAGUACAAGUAUUACUCAUUAUAGACUAGCACGAAAAAUCAAGUGAAAUGCGAACUUAAGAGUUUAAAAAGAAUAAAUGGUGCUUUUCUGGCCUAUUAGUAAUAAAUUAAAUAAAAAUAAUUUUAAUUUGUAAGUAA
rnacentral:lncRNA from 1 species